rnacentral:misc_RNA from 1 species
AGGAGUACCCGCUGAACUUAAGCAUAUCAAUAAGCGGAGGAAAAGAAAAUCACAAUGAUUCCUUUAGUAACUGAGAGUGAAGGGGGAAAAGCUCAAAUUUUAAAUCUGUUAGGUUUCCUAACCGAGUUGUAAUUUGAAGAAGCGUUUUCUGUGCAGUUUGGUCGACCUAAGUCUUAUUGAAUGAGGCAUCACGGAGGGUGAUAAUCCCGUUCGGUUGAUCAUUGCGCUUUAUGAUACGUUUUCAAAGAGUCAAGUUGUUUGGGAUUGCAGCUUAAAAUGGGAGGUAAAUUUCUCCUAAGGCUAAAUAACGGCGAGAGACCGAUAGCGAACAAGUACCGUGAGGGAAAGAUGAAAAGAACUUUGAAAAGAGAGUUAAAUAGUACGUGAAAUUGUUGAAAGGGAAACGAUUGAAGC